rnacentral:tRNA from 1 species
GGCGAUGUAGCAUAAGAAAAUGCGCUUCAUUUACAUUGAAGAAUAUCUUUAUUUAAAAGCAUUUCCU